CUGGGCGUAAGCGUGCGCAGGCGGUUUUGUAAGACAGGCGUGAAAUCCCCGGGCUCAACCUGGGAACUGCGCUUGUGACUGCAAGGCUAGAGUACGGCAGAGGGGGGUGGAAUUCCACGUGUAGCAGUGAAAUGCGUAGAGAUGUGGAGGAACACCAAUGGCGAAGGCAGCCCCCUGGGUCGAUACUGACGCUCAUGCACGAAAGCGUGGGUAGCAAACAGGAUUAGAUACCCUGGUAGUCCACGCCCUAAACGAUGUCAACUAGGUGUUGGGUGGGUAAAACCAUUUAGUACCGUAGCUAACGCGUGAAGUUGACCGCCUGGGGAGUACGGCCGCAAGGUUAAAACUCAAAGGAAUUGACGGGGACCCGCACAAGCGGUGGAUGAUGUGGAUUAAUUCGAUGCAACGCGAAAAACCUUACCUACCCUUGACAUGUCAGAAACUUGGCAGAGAUGCCUUGGUGCCCGAAAGGGAAUCUGAACACAGGUGCUGCAUGGCUGUCGUCAGCUCGUGUCGUGAGAUGUUGGGUUAAGUCCCGCAACGAGCGCAACCCUUGUCGUUAAUUGCCAUCAUUUAGUUGGGCACUUUAACGAGACUGCCGGUGACAAACCGGAGGAAGGUGGGGAUGACGUCAAGUCC
rnacentral:rRNA from 1 species